rnacentral:sRNA from 12 species
ACUGUGGAGUGUACAAGAACUUGUGAGUAGAUUGAUAUUUAUAUCAUCAAAAGCAUAUACGUUGAAGCAGUAA